rnacentral:rRNA from 1 species
GCAUAUCAAUAAGCGGAGGAAAAGAAACUAACAAGGAUUCCCCUAGUAGCGGCGAGCGAAGCGGGAAGAGCUCAAAUUUAUAAUCUGGCACCUUCGGUGUCCGAGUUGUAAUCUCUAGAAAUGUUUUCCGCGCUGGACCGCACACAAGUCUGUUGGAAUACAGCGGCAUAGUGGUGAGACCCCCGUAUAUGGUGCGGACGCCCAGCGCUUUGUGAUACAUUUUCGAAGAGUCGAGUUGUUUGGGAAUGCAGCUCAAAUUGGGUGGUAAAUUCCAUCUAAAGCUAAAUAUUGGCGAGAGACCGAUAGCGAACAAGUACCGUGAGGGAAAGAUGAAAAGCACUUUGGAAAGAGAGUUAACAGUACGUGAAAUUGUUGGAAGGGAAACGCUUGAAGUCAGACUUGCUUGCCGAGCAAUCGGUUUGCAGGCCAGCAUCAGUUUUCCGGGAUGGAUAAUGGUAGAGAGAAGGUAGCAGUUUCGGCUGUGUUAUAGCUCUCUGCUGGAUACAUCUUGGGGGACUGAGGAACGCAGUGUGCCUUUGGCGGGGGUUUCGACCUCUUCACACUUAGGAUGCUGGUGGAAUGGCUUUAAACGACCCGUCUUGAAACACGGACCAAGGAGUCUAACAUGCUUGCGAGUAUUUGGGUGUCAAACCCGGAUGCGUAAUGAAAGUGAAUGGAGGUGGGAACCGCAAGGUGCACCAUCGACCGAUCUGGAUUUUUAAUGAUGGAUUUGAGUAAGAGCACGUAUGUUGGGACCCGAAAGAUGGUGAACUAUGCCUGAAUAGGGCGAAGCCAGAGGAAACUCUGGUGGAGGCUCGUAGCGGUUCUGACGUGCAAAUCGAUCGUCAAAUUUGGGUAUAGGGGCGAAAGACUAAUCGAACCAUCUAGUAGCUGGUUCCUGCCGAA